AUGGGUCGUUUAGGCCAUGAGUUAGGUACUGUGAAGUUGGGUUAUGUAAACCCAAUCCAUGUUUGGGGGAAGGAAUUUUGGGAGAAGGGUUAUCAUAACCCUUCCCAUUCUCUCUCUUUCUUCCUCUCAAUCCGUCUUCCCCCUAUUUCUUUCCUCUCAAUCUCUCUUCAAAUCCCCUAUAACGGUACCUUCCUUUCUCCCUUCCCCCAACGUAAUCCCUCCUCAACCCUCCCUUACUUCGGUUAUUUUGCUUGGUCUUCACCGUUUUCUUCUCCAUCAAUUUCAUCUUUCACCGUCUUUGUCUUCAUCAAUGUUAUCUCUCCAUUUUUAACUCUCACCAUUUUCGUCUAUCACCAUUUUCGUCUUUCACCAUCUUUGUCUCUCACUGUUUUCGUCUUCACUAUUUUCACUUUCGGUUUUCAUCGCCCCCCGUUGUUUUGGGUCUUGUUGACUAGCUUCAUUUUCUCCAUUUGAGGCCUCUAAUUCCCUUUCCAUCAUUUUGGGUUUCGUUGAUUGACUUCAUGGUUUGUUACAUGGCUUGUCUUCUAGACUUGCUGCUCGGACCUCACCUUGUUGCUCUGUAUUUCCCUUAUUGCUCAAACUUACCCUUUUCGCUCGAGCUUCCCAUUUAUUGAUAAGUGUCGAAUGCUACAUCUGUAGUGGUAGUGGUGGUUUCGAGCAAGGUAGGGAUGGAGGUGAAAAUUUAAUAACUACAAAACCUUGUUUACAACGCUUAACUUUUACUUCCAUUUGGUCGUUUGUUUUCUUAUUAACGAAAUACACUACUCCGCAUGGUCCCUACAUUAACUCAAUACAAACUACUCUAGACCACUGUUAAUUAUAGCUCACCUAAGUGUCUCCAUAUCUUUUACCCUGGGUUAUAAGAGAGGAAUUUUUUUUUUUUGCAAACAUGCUUCCAUGGUUCAUUUUUCAGAAUGCACUGUUGUUCUCGAACCAUACUAGCGAGGCGUGUACUUCAGCAAGUUUUUAGGUGUUACCUUGCAAUGUCGUUGGAAAACAUUGCCACAAUACUAAUUGUAUUCACAGUGUCCCAACGUCAGCUGCUGAUGACAUUGGACGAACUACUAAAGGACAAUAAGAGGCUAACCUAUACACCUUACGAAAUUAGGCACAGAAUUAGGCAGCUUGCAUACUUCCGCAUGAUCCAUGAGUCCGACCUAGUAUGUCAUCAAAGUACUAGAAUGGAAAGAAGAACAUUUGUUGUUCUAUGCAACCUACUGAGACUAUUUUUGGAACUGUGUCGACGGAAGUCAUCGAUGUCGAGGAGAUGGUGGCCAUAUUUCUGCACGUUCUAGCACACGACGUGAAUAAUCGAGUCAUCUAAAGGAAAUUCAUGCGGUCCGAUGAGAUAAUUUUCUGCAAUUUCAACCUCGUAUUCUUGGCUGUGCUACGGCUCCACGACGAGUUGUUGACGAAACCACAUCCCGUAACAAACUCAUGCACAUAUCCACAUUGAAGGUGCUUUGAGAAUUGCCUAGGGGCAUUUGACAAGACAUACGUAAAGGUGAAUGUGGCAGCAAUUGAUCGACCUAGGUAUAGAACAUGGAAGGAUGAAGUUGCCACGAACGUCCUCGAUGUAUACGACACGAAAGGAGAUUUUUUAUUCAUCUUAGUCGGCUGGAAAGGAUUCGCAACUAUUUCACGGCCCAAGGGAUUGAAGGUUCCAAAGGGUUACCUCAACUACUCCUCCAUUUUAUGUGAAAUUCCCUCAAUUAUAAAAUUUAACAAGGUUGAGAUCAUACUAGGUUAUUACUACCUUUGUAACGUGGGGUACCCCAAUGCGGAAGGAUUUCUAGCUCUAUACAGAGGACAAAGAUACCACCUGUAGAGUGUUAUGAAGCUGGAAAUGCAUCAACAACAACAAAAGAGUUCUUUAACAUGAAACAUUUUUUCGUACGAAAUGUUAUUGAAGCGUUCGAUCUAUUAAAGGAUCGAUGGGCAAUCCUUCGUGUAAAGUCAUACUACCCCGUUCAAGUCCAAUGUCACACAAUUUUGGUGUGUUGUCUAUUCCAUAAUCUCAUUAAUCGAGAGAUGACGAACGUUGAUAUUUUAAAGGACGUCGAUGAGGGUGACUCGAACUUUGCCACGACUGUAACUGACGACAUAAACUACAUUUGGGCCUCCAACGAAUGGAGUUAAUGGAGGGAUGACCUCGCUAAAAAGAUGUUCAGUGAAUGGAGUUGCGUAAUCAAUAGUACUAUUUAUGUUCCAAUAGUAUCACAUUCUUUAAACUUUUUUAAUAUGGCAACUCUUGUCAAAUUUAGAAUGUAUAUAUGCAUGAACGUAAUUAAUGAAAACCAACCAUUGAAAAAAAUUCGUAAUUUUUCCCAUAUGUUUAUUCUUCAUACAAUUCACUUAAAACAAAUUUUUUCCUUUUAUUCUUUUAUCAGUAUGGUUAGUUCGUCAAGGACUUUGAAACAUCCAUGGACGAAGGAGGAGUCUACCCUCGUUGAAUGUCUGGUCGACUUGAUGAAGCGGGAGGGUGGCAGUUAGACAACGGGACUUUCAAACCCAGUUACCUGGCCAUGCUAGUGAGAAUGGUGUGGGACAGGAUGCCAGAAUACAAUGUCAAGUCGACCACUAUUAUCAAACGUAGAAUAAAGUUUUGAAGAGAACAAUCCAGGCAAUUACUAACAUGUGAGGCCCAGCAUGUAGUGGGUUUGGAUGGAACGACGUGCUAAGUGAAUAAUUGCUAAGAAUGACGUGCUAGACAGUUGGGUCAGGGUACGAGAAUAAGUGAAUGCGAACUUUUUACAUAACUCUAAUGAAAUAAAAAACUGACAACUAUUUUUAAUUUUUUUCACAGAUGCAUCCUGUAGCGGAGAACCUCAUAAACAAGCCUUUUUAGUAUUACGAUGAAUUGCUACAUGUGUUUGGAAAAGAUCAUGCAAUAGGAGCACGUGAAGAGACAUUCACUCAUGUUGAGUCCAAUGUGCCAGGUGGGUACGAGGGAUUUCAAUCGAAGCCAGGUACUGAACAUGUCGUUUGAGGACAUGAUGGGCGCACAACCUAAUCGAUCGAGCGACUGUAGGUCGGGUUCAAGUGGAUUGAAGAGGAAGCUUGAAGAGCAGAAUGUGGAGACUGUGGACGUCAUCCGCGGCACCAUGAAAUGUGUGAAUGACCUACUUAGGGCCAUUGUAGACUGGCCAAAGUUAGCUAGGCAAGAGGAAGACGCAACCCGACGAGAAGUCAUUAGACAAUUGCAAGAUAUCCCUGAGCUCAGUAGAUUGGACAGGGUGCGCUAUCUAAAGAUAAUAGCAGGCAACUUGGUCAUCAUGAAAGCAUUCUUAGACCUUUUUGCGGAUAUGUAGAUGGACUACUACAUAGUCAUUCUACAAGAUAACCUAUGAUUGUUUGUCCAAUUCAACUACUUUUUUUUUUUCUUUUGCUUCUACAUUGUGUUCUCUGUAUUUGACUCCAUAUGUUUAUGCCAAACUAUCAAGAAACUAUUUUGCUCAAAUAUAUCAUUUCAUUUGAAUGAAAUUUUGUUGCCAGUAA